rnacentral:rRNA from 1 species
UGGUGGAUUGAUUUGUCAGGUUGAUUCCGACAACGAACGAGAUCCAAGCUUUCUAGUUCUGGGUUCCCUUCUACUGUUGGGAAUCUCUUAGGUUAGAAGGACGGUGUUGGCUUACAACAAUGAAGGGUUGGGCGAUAACA